UACGAAGGGGGCUAGCGUUGCUCGGAAUCACUGGGCGUAAAGCGCACGUAGGCGGCUUUUUAAGUCAGGGGUGAAAUCCUGGAGCUCGACUCCAGAACUGCCUUUGAUACUGAGAAGCUUGAGUCCGGGAGAGGUGAGUGGAACUGCGAGUGUAGAGGUGAAAUUCGUAGAUAUUCGCAAGAACACCAGUGGCGAAGGCGGCUCACUGGCCCGGUACUGACGCUGAGGUGCGAAAGCGUGGGGAGCAAACAGG
rnacentral:rRNA from 1 species